GAUGAACGCUAGCUACAGGCUUAACACAUGCAAGUCGAGGGGCAGCACAGUGUAGCAAUACAUGGGUGGCGACCGGCGCACGGGUGCGUAACGCGUAUCCAACCUUCCCGUUACUCAGGGAUAGCCUUCUGAAAGGGAGAUUAAUACCUGAUGGUGUUCAAAUUCCGCAUGUUAUUUGAACUAAAGAUUUAUCGGUAACGGAUGGGGAUGCGUGACAUUAGGUAGAUGGCGGGGUAACGGCCCACCAUGCCCACGAUGUCUAGGGGUUCUGAGAGGAAGGUCCCCCACACUGGAACUGAGACACGGUCCAGACUCCUACGGGAGGCAGCAGUGAGGAAUAUUGGUCAAUGGCCGGAAGGCUGAACCAGCCAAGUAGCGUGAAGGAUGAAAGGUUCUACUGGGAAUUGUAAACUUCUUUUAUACGGG
rnacentral:rRNA from 1 species